ACGGAAGGCAGCAGUGAGGAAUAUUGGUCAAUGGAGGCAACUCUGAACCAGCCAAGUCGCGUGAAGGAAGAAGGCCCUACGGGUCGUAAACUUCUUUUGCAGGGGGAUAAAGUCGGCCACGCGUGGCCGUUUGCAGGUACCCUGUGAAUAAGCAUCGGCUAACUCCGUGCCAGCAGCCGCGGUAAUACGGAGGAUGCGAGCGUUAUCCGGAUUUAUUGGGUUUAAAGGGUGCGCAGGCGGCUUUUUAAGUCAGUGGUUAAAUCGUGACGCUCAACGUCAUCACGCCAUUGAUACUGGAGAGCUUGAUUGCGGUCGAGGUUUGCGGAAUUCGUUGUGUAGCGGUGAAAUGCAUAGAUAUGACGAAGAACACCGAUUGCGUAGGCAGCAGACCAGGCCGUAAAUGACGCUCAUGCACGAAAGUGCGGGGAUCGAACAGGAUUAGAUACCCUGGUA
rnacentral:rRNA from 1 species